GACGACGGUCAUAACAUCGGGGAAAUACCAGGUCUCAUUCCGAACCCGACGGUUAAGUCCGAUGUGUUGCAUACUGUACUAUCUUCCGCGAGGGGACGGGAACUAUGUUUCGCUGUCGUUU
rfam:Ferroplasma sp. Type II genomic scaffold AMDT4_FER2S00006, whole genome shotgun sequence.